rnacentral:lncRNA from 1 species
UGAACUUCAAGCAUCUUGUGGCACUACAUUGCUACUGAGAUACAUGACCAAGAAAUAACCUUUACAAAGUAAAUCUCUCAACAAGAUGAUUUACAUGAGGCUUCCAGAAGCUGCUCCGAGUUCCAGGAGGCAAUUAAUCUGUGUGCGCCUGAAAACAUGUCCAAGAAUGGGGCGGCUCCUAAAAUGGAUUAUCAGCAAUGAAGAGGAUACUGUAGAUCCAGACUUCCCAUGAAGAGAGCAAGGCCAAGAAAAUUAUUCAUUCUGUAGUUAAAAUCUUGCAGAAUUUUCAAACUGGAUUGAUA